AGAGAGAGAGAGGAGGAGGUUGUGGAUGUUUUCGUCGCCAGAUCUGGAUUCAAAUCCGAUUUCUCAUCGGCUGGACAUGGAGCGUCGUUGUCUAAACCGAGCUUCGUCGUCGUCGAGGUCGAGGAGCGUUGCCGUCCAGGUCGAGGUUAGUCGUCGUCGAGGCUGAGGUUCGUCAUCGUUGAGGCCGAGGUUCGUCGCCGUCGAGGCCUAGGUUAGUCGCCGUCAAGGCCGAGGUUCAUCAUGUCGAGGCCGAGGAUCUUCGCCAACAUGGCUGAGGAUCAUCGCCGGCGUGGCUAAGGAGCAUCGCCGUUGAGGCUUUGGCAGUUGAUGCCUCAACAACAGAGAGAGAGAGAGAGAGAGAGAGAGAGAGAGAGAGAGAGAGAGAGAGAGAGAGAGAGAGAGAGAGAGAGAGAGAGAGNNNNNNNNNNNNNNNNNNNNGUUUAUAUUGUCUUCUUAUUUUUUUUUAUUUUUGUCAUUUAUUAUAAUCAGUUGAGAAUGAGAGUAACGAUUUAUUUGAGUUUUUCAACGAAAAAAUAAAACAUUUCAUUUAAAUCAAAUCAGUCGAGAAGAAGAAUGAAACAUGCUUUGUGCUGUAUUCAUGUGCUUGUUUU
rnacentral:lncRNA from 1 species